rnacentral:miRNA from 1 species
ACUGCAAUGUGAGCACUUCCAGU